rnacentral:ncRNA from 1 species
GAAGUCCCAUCCGGCCAAAGCUGAAGCAGGCAGGCCGGGACCGAGUCUAGCGGGCGUCGCGGCAACGCGAGGUCUGAAGUGUAGACAGGAGCCAUGCGGGGUGCGGGAAUGAGCCUCGAAAGGUGGAUGUUCGCGGAGGCCGAGUGCGUUCCCUAGUCACGAAGGCAGCAUGAGCAUCGUCGUUAUAGCGAGACGAUGCCGCUCCGUCGGGGUCGAAGGCCG